GAUAGAGCUUACUCCUUAUGCAUU
rnacentral:miRNA from 1 species